AAUGAACGCUGGCGGCAGGCCUAACACAUGCAAGUCGAACGGAGUUAUAUUGUAGCUUGCUAUGGUAUAACUUAGUGGCAGACGGGUGAGUAAUGUAUAGGAAUCUACCUAGUAGUACGGAAUAAUUGUUGGAAACGGCAACUAAUACCGUAUACGCCCUACGGGGGAAAAAUUUAUUGCUAUUAGAUGAGCCUAUAUUAGAUUAGUUAGUUGGUGAGGUAAAGGCUUACCAAGACAAUGAUCUAUAGCUGAUCUGAGAGGAUGAUCAGCCACACUGGAACUGAGAUACGGUCCAGACUCCUACGGGAGGCAGCAGUGGGGAAUAUUGGACAAUGGGC
rnacentral:rRNA from 2 species